ACCAGUGUGGCACAGUGGUUUGAGCAUUGGACUGCAACUCUGGAGACUAGGGUUCAAUUCCCAGCUCAGCCA